UGGCAAAUACACACAAAUACACUCAAUAAGCACACACAAGGAAUUUGUUAUUCUGAACUGGAACUUGGAAACAAUCACUCAAACAAGUACACUAAUUGGUAAUAAAAGUAGCACGGCAAUGAACUGGAACUUGGCUUCUAUCAGACCUCCAUAUACAAUGCUUUUCAAGAUCUCCACUUUACGUCCUUCAACAACUGGUCCUGCAACAGCUGGUCUCACUAAGGGUUCGGUUAGAGUUUCUUCUUCCAGCGAACUCACUGGGAGUGGUGGAAUAUCAAUUCCACGAAUUGGUGCUCCGUCACCUGAGU
rnacentral:lncRNA from 1 species